GCUGGAUUAAAAAGUGAAAAGACGAAGACAAAAAAUGAAGACGACUGAGGUGAUGCCUUUAGCUCAGUGAAUUCAGUGUUUUGUUUCAAGACACCACAAGAGGGAGCCAACACUUUGGCAUUUACUGAUUCAAGAUAUUGAAUGUGAAUCAUCCCACGUCUGUGUCCCCAUAAUGUCGGACUAUGGAUUAGACAUAACCUUCCUCCUCGUACACAGUACUCCAAACCUAAUCCCGGAUUAUAAAUUGAUGAGUGACCCAUAGCGCUCCACUUUUUGGUUUUAUGUAGAUUUUAUCCCAUGAAAUUGUGUCUGUGUUCCCUAUGUUUUUUUCCCCUUUUAUUAUGUCGUUGUCUGCUCAUCAUGAACAAUAUGACACAUGACGAGCCAUUUUAGUAUGCGUCAUAAUCCUUCCUCACAGUUACCUGCAUCCCUCUGUUCACACACUGCUGUCAGGUGCUUAAGUGGCUAUAAAUACUGUAUGACCAUGCUGUCUCUCUUCCAGUGUGUGUGUGUGUGUGUGUGUGUGUGUGUGGAGGAGAGCGAGCGGUGAAAGUAGAUAAGGCCCACUGAGCCUUUUGUACUACUCAGGGAUUAGAACUAUCUGUUGGGUUGUCUCUGACCAAACCACACGAUGCCCCACAAAGUUGGCACACACUUCAGACAAAAUGAAAAUAAAGGUGUUUGUGUGAGUGUGUGGGUAUGUGAGUGACCUAAUCUCGACCUGAAAGCCUCGCUUGCUUCGUGUGGGCCGGGGCAAUGGAUUCUAGUGAGAGGAGGACCAGACCACCUAAAUUUUGUCCAACAAUGAGGAUUUCUUCCAUUUCUGAUUAACUUCUAAAUAAAACAGCUGGAUGAUGCUUUCAAGGCAUUUAUUGAUAUUUUAGGUUCUUCAUCCUCGACAAGGAGCCACUGUUGGGAUUUUUUUAAUGUGAAUCAUCAAGAUGCUGCAACUGAGGAUUCAAACCUUAAUUGAUCAUGGACUACUACCCACCACUGUCAACGCGACGCCACAACCCGGUGGACAGCAUCUGUCGCAAACUUCUGACCAACCAGUGGCGCGGUGACCGAGAGCCCAAUAGCCCCUUCCAAAUCCCCAAGCUGUCUUCCAGCAGCUACGAUAGCCCCCAGUGCGGCCUCAGGCGCAACAUGGAGGCCAUCUUGAGGAAAGGGAUCCACGGGAGCAAGGAGAAAAGUGACGGAAUGCUGAACUCUGCGCAAUCCCAAAGGAGCAACUUCCCAUCAUUCACUCCUUCCACACCAGCAGGCACCACCUCUUCUAACACCACAUACACCAUCACAAGUACCCUUGGGGAGAGCAAAGGUGUUGAUAGAAGUGCAAUAAAACCAUUCAGGACCUGGCAGAAGUAUUGCUCCACUCCCACGGGACAGGACAAAGACUCCCCAUACUUCACGGUCACCCGAGACGGACCCCACUCGGCACAGCCCAAGAGCGGAAGCGACGAGCCCGAUCUCUCUCGCACCUUCACCCCAAUUCACAGGACCGUCUCUUAUGACCUUAACUUCAGCCCUGCCGACACGGGGAGCUCCAUGGAGGGCGAGCUGUCCUACCCGGCUCUGGUUGUCAGAAAACUGUCGCUGGGAGAUGGAGGAAACACGGCGGCCUCUGAGAGCAACAACAUGGCAGAAGUAAGCCUCAUCUGCGAGGAGAAUCUUCUCGACACCAUCUUCCAUGCUUGUGACACGCAACGACGAGGAAAGGUGUACGUGUCUCACAUUGUGGACUUCUUGCGGCACACCACCAGCCGCACCUCAGAGGACAAAGGCCUGGAGGAGCUCUGCAACAUGCUUGAUCCCGAACGCAAAGAUGUUUCCAUCGACCUGGACACGUAUCACGCUGUCAUGAAGGAGUGGAUUGACGACUGCCGCAACAACGGUGAAGGACCGUCAGAAGAUCCCGCCAAGGACUCAGCUAGAACAAGAGACGGCAUUUCUGCCAGGAGGUCCAUGCUGCUCAAUAUGACCUCUGGAAGCUUGGAGGGCUUUGGAGGGGAUGUGUCAAGAGCAGAAUUUGAAACAUCAGAGCUCAUCUACUGCCUUGCCGACGUCCAAAUGAACAACCAGAAGCUCCAGGAGGAGGUGAGGAAGCUGAAACAGGCGGUGGAGGGGAUGGAGGAGAUCAACCAAAAGCUGGCGGAUGAGAACGAGGAGCUACACAACCAGACCAGAGUUCACCAGCAGCUGAUCCACAAAGAGAAGAUGCUGCACAACGAAGUGGAGGAAAUGAAGGUCACUCUGAGCUGCACGGAGGAAGGCAGAGCUCGCGCCUCCGCGCGCAGCAAGCACGUGGAAAGAGAAAACCAAGAUCUCAUAGCAAAGAUUGCUUUACUCCAGGACGAGAACUUCAAGGUCAGCAUGGAGAUGGACGAGCUUCAGAAGAGAAUAGCGGAGCUGUGUGACAUUAACGCUGACCUCCAGGUGCAGAUUCACUCUUUCGAUACAGUUAUCACUGAAAAGGAAUCUCUUAUCCAAGAGAAGAGCAGACAGAUAGACGAGCUCAAGGCGGCAGUCGAGGAAUACUCCUCCAUCACGGAGUUACUAAGGGCCGACAAGAGCAAACUGGAGAGCCACGUGCAGAUGAUACAUCAAGACCUUUUGAGCACUGGAGUCUCUCUUUCGGCAGCCUACAGGCUGAACCAGAGCGCUUCAGGAUCCCUGCAGACAGAGCUGGCUUUGGCUCAGUCACCACUGGAGUCUGUCUAUGGCUUUGACCAUUUGCCCACCAAUGUGUGCUUUGCUUCGCCACUCGAUGAGACCCUGGACAGAGAGGUGCUGCUGAUGAUGCACGGACCAAGCCCUGAUAUCAUGGCCCUGGAGUUCCAGAAACUGCUGAACAAACUGAAGACCGAUUUCAGACAAGACACCAACACCGUCGUGUCCACGUUGAAAGCCUUACUGAGUGACCGCUCAAAACCAGAGGGCACCACAGACGCCAGUCUUGAGGCGGUACAGGUCGCGCUUGAUGCAACAAGAGAAGACUGGGCCUUAAGCCUGGACCAGCUCGCGCAGUACACUGACUCCAUCGAGAAGGAGCUGGUCAAAAUGGCCAGUAAUGUGAGGAGGUCACGAACAGAGGUCCUGCACCUUUCAGUCAGGGUGCAGGAUCAGGAGAACCAGAAGCGGCAGCUCAGUGAGGAAGUGGAGCAGCUCAAGACUUGUCAAGAUAGCAGAGAAGCCUCGUGCCAGACACCUGCACCAGAAGAAGAGACUGGGCAUGACCUGGAAUGGGAUGAGGAAUACGCCCUUCAAGAGUUCCUGAAAAAGGACAUGGCAGGGAGCAACGGUCAAGCGCGGGACGGAGGAACGGACAGCGGGCAGAUGGAGGACGGGGACGAGAGGUGGACGGUGGUCAAUGGCGAAGGAGAAGCGGGGCACUCUUCCACUCCUGUGUCUGCCAAGCUUGAAGCUUCUCCGGAUGGACAGUGUCUGGCAGAAACUCCAGAGCAUAGAGCGAACCAUCAUCGUUUGCAGGACGAGGCAGCAGUACUGCCGGACGCCCCCUCACAAGCUGUCAGUGCCGAGCAGCCAGCGGCGGAUGCCCUGCCUGAUCCGUCCCACUCAGAGAGCUGCGGGGCAGAGACUAGAUUGGCUCAGUCUGAAGACGCCACUCAGAAUAUGAGCACCUUGUCUGAUCAGGACCCAACAAAGAUGCCUCCCACAACCAACAAUGAAACAGAUGAGGUCACUCCUCCGAAUGAGAGCAGCGUGCAGCCGUCUGGCGAGGGCCAAGACGACGAGGGCGACGCGAGCAGCACAACGAGCCCGAUCCUGAACCAGUCUGCGCCUAGGCCGGCAGCGGGGGACGCUGCUAAUGCCAACACUUUGGUUCUCAGCGCAAGUCCGCUUCCCGUGUUGGUUGAAGAAGAGGAAAGCGUGCGGGAGGGUAACGUCGCAGCUCCAACCGCGGAGGCCGGCAUGGCAGGGACCGAGCAGCUCACCAGCACAAACGCCCCAACUGAUGGUCGGCAGUCGAGCGUGUCCUCGGUACAAAACGGCCAAUCAGAGAGCGGCGUGACCUCAGGUUCAAGUAGAUUGGAAGACAAAAAGGGGAAACAUAAGAAAGAACUGGAGGCGCAAGACAGGGACGCCGCAGAUGCCCCAAAGGUGGAGCAGGCCAAACAUGAAACGUCUGUAACCACUGAGAAAGAAUGUGUCUUGUCAACCAUCUCUGACCACAAUGAUUCAUCCAAAGAGGAUAAGCACAGCAGCCUGUCGGCCAAUGACAAGGAAAUCGAGUCCGAGUUCCAGCGUUUAGCUCUGGGCUUCAAGUGCGACAUGUUUACCUUAGAGAAGAGACUCCGGCUGGAGGAGCGCUCACGUGAUCUGGCCGAGGAGAACGUCCGCAGGGAGGUGUCCAGCUGCCAGGGCUUGCUACAGGCUCUGACUCCUCUAUGUGAAGAUGACAACCAGUCAAUGGAGAUCAUCCACAGGCUCCAGAAGAACCUGGACAUCCUCAUCCAGUCCAUGAGCAGAGUUUCAAGUCGCUCCGAGAUGCUCGGAGCCAUCCAUCAGGAGAGUCGCAUCGGCAAGGCAGUGGCGGUGAUGAUUCAACACGUGGAGAACCUAAGGCGGGUGUACACCAAGGAGCACGCCGAGCUGCUGGAGCUACGGGAGACGCUCAUGCAGAACGAAAGGUCCUUCGGGUCGCACGCGGACAGAGAUGAAUUCCGUGGCAAGAAGCCAUCGACGUCACAAUACUACAAGUCAUCAGCCCGGCGGGUUAGCAUAGCAGCAAUACCUCGAUCUGGCGGAGGCAACAUGCACUAUGACAUGACCAAACAACAGGAUGGUGCAGAAAGUGAAGCCGAAAGACUCACCAGGAGAUCCCCAUGGAAUGUGGCCGGAAAGAACAUGGCGCGCCCCCCACUUAAGCGCUUUGUUAGCUCUGCCGCCUGGGUUGACACGGAAGAGCCUUCCGUCGUGAUGAAGGGGACGGCGGCGCGCAGUCACUCCGACCCCCAGCCAGUGGACGAGCUGGAGGAAGUUGUGCCGGAGAGGAGAUCCAGUCUCAGUGAGCUGGGCAGCAAACUCACCUCGCUCUUUCUGCCCCUCAAGACAAGUCAGGAUGAGCUCUUUGUCAUGCUUGCCAGCUCCUCAUCCAGCCCGGCGUCUUCUGAUCAAGGACUGUCCCAAUCUCUGGCCCACAGCCUGACAUCCACCCGGGCGACGGCAGCUGCGGUGGCCCGAGGCAGCAGGGGCCUCUGGCUUUGGUUGGCCAUGGUGCUCAUCCUCGUAGGUCUCCUGGCCCUGUUGGCCAGCCUGGUGAUGCAGCCCGCUGUCGACGCAGCCCCCGUGGGCACCGGGGACUCCUGGAUGACCAUCCAGCAGCUGCUCUGGCCUUAUACGGGCCUGCGACACAAUGGACAGCCCCCAGUUUAGUCCCCUUGACCCACUUUUGGACCUCGGGUAGACGGUGCUACGGCCGUUGGCCUUCUCCAGAUUAGCCCGUGCACUUGGGAUUGUUGGAGAGAUCGUGUGAUGCACUGAGUAAAACGGUCGGACGGCGACUGACGAUUCCUCAUCCGGGGGGCUUGGCGGGGAAUGGUGAAUCGUAACCCAUCACGUUUGCCAAACUAGUCUGAAUCGCCGCGUGAAUGCCUGUGUUUCAAAAGUGGCUGUGGCGCUGACAACCUGUCGCGGCUGCUCGACACGGUCACUUUUGAACCAAACUUGCAUGUUGUCCGAUCAUGUUGUUGAGUACACAUCCGCUGAACCAUACCGCAGUGCAUCGUUCACGGACAGCUUUAUAAACCCCACGUCAUGCACUUGAAGGGUUUAGCAAAACAUGAGCGGCCUGGUGGCGCAGAACAGACUCUGAACAGUGUCCACGAAGAGGAAGUGAGCCUCUCGGGUUCGACUUAUCCCUUCGGGGCUCAUGUUGUCCUGCAGCAUGUGGAUGAAGGUGGAGUGAAACUCACUGUCGGGAUGGUGGUCUGCGCAGAAAACCUCACUUGUUUCUGUUAUCUCCAACUUUUGGAAUCUCUGAGGCGCCACCAGGUAGAGACUCCACAGGUCCUCGGGUGGCGGGUUGAGGCCUUGGUGCUCACAGACCUGACACGGUGAAAUUGGAUUCGGUUAAAAUGUCCACAGAGGUUGUUCAGACAAAAUGGACAUAUGGAAUGCAGACCCGACCUUAAUUACAAGAUGUUCCGGGCCACAUUGGGCGUUCCAUUUGCUCCAUGAGAAGGUGCAGACAGAUGCGAACAGGGCCAUCUGUUCAUAGGCAACGUGUUCCCUCAGUGGGUCCUUUUAGACAAAACGAGCCACAUGAACUCUAAUGUGCAAAAGUUAUUUUGACAGUACAAAUAAAUAUUUUUACUGAUGCGUGCGUGCCCCAUGGUGAUCAAAACUUGUGCUCAAGGGCCUUUUUUUUUUAAAUAGACUGCUUGACGAGGUUGGUCUUAGGGGGGUUAAAUUAAGUCAUUUAUUUUAAGAGAAAAUCUUAUUGUUUUAAAAUCAUUUCAUAAUAGACCGACUUACCCUUUAAAAUAUCAAAACUUUUUUUUUUUUAAUCGACAAUCAAAAAUGUUCAAUUUGUAUGUUAAAUUUUCUAUUGGACGAAUACUGUAGUUUAUGAUGUCCAUGGAACGAGGGAUAUUUUAAUAUUUGCAGUUGAUAAAUUGGCCAUUGUUUUCAAUGUUGAACGUAUGCAAUGUAAAUGACUUGACAUUUUAUUUACAAUGUCAAUAAAACAUUUAAAAAAUGUAUGUCGAUACAUAUUUUAAUGUUCUAUCUGAUUUAAUUACAUAUCUUAGGAAAUCAAGUGCAGAAAUAUGACAGAAAAAUGUGAACUAUUUAUAGGAAGAAAUGUAUAUGUAUACUUAUAAUUAACUUGGCCAACUAUUGAAUGGAUGAAAACAAGUUAAAUGAUUUACUAUGAUUCUAUUUACAAUAAUUGACCAGUUAUUAAAAAUUGUACGAGUCGAUUUUUAAGCAUGCAAUUUUAUUUUGUAGUUUUUAAAAAAUGAAUUAACCAACUUUGAGGGGGAAAAGUGGACGCUAUCUCAUCCUGAAUUGGCAUGACAACGAUACAGAAUAUGGUUAUCCUUUUUUUUUUUUUUUUAAACUAUUAACAAUCUAAUUGUGUUCAAGACUUUUUUGCUGUAGGCGAUGGCGUUCGAUGGCAACCUUGCGGCAGGAAGUGACAAACUUCUCGGUGUGUUCAUUGACGAAGAUGUUGAUCCCCGCCUUGACCAUGGCCUGCUGCAGGUCGGGCGCACUCAUCCACUUGCCAAAAAGGUUGGUGAGGCCCACCUCUCGGUCUGUUUGCAGCAUGCACUGAUUCCCCUGGAAAACAGACACAAAAAAAACUUUCACAAAUCACCCUCUGUGUCCUCCUCGGCUUUCUUUGAUGCCCACCUGGAUGGUUAUGCUGAGGUCAAUGACCGCCCCGUGGAUGCUGAAGAGAGCUGAGUCUUUACCCAGCGGGCGCAGCUCCCAACUCCGGAAGGGAAAGUUGGCGUAGCGGCCCACUCGAGGGGUUUCUAGGAAGACCACAGUGUCAGGGAGCCUCACAGACAAACCGACAAGUGGGCAAGUGGCUUCUUCAUCUUCUGUUUGGUUUGAUUUCUCAGGAAUAUACUGGAAAGCUUUCAACCUGGCUUCCGAUAUCUAUAAAACACUUUCAAGUUACGAUUGAUAGAAAUAAUCAUCCUGAAAUUUCAACUGAUGUGUAGAUUUUAAUCUACCUUUCGAAUUU